rnacentral:rRNA from 1 species
UACGUAGGUGGCAAGCGUUGUCCGGAUUUACUGGGCGUAAAGAGCGCGCAGGCGGUCGUUCAAGUCGCGUGUGAAAGCCCCCGGCUCAACUGGGGAGGGUCACGCGAUACUGAUCGACUCGAAGGCAGGAGAGGGUAGUGGAAUUCCCGGUGUAGUGGUGAAAUGCGUAGAUAUCGGGAGGAACACCAGUGGCGAAGGCGGCUCACUGGACCGGUAUUGACGCUGAGACGCGAAAGCGUGGGGAGCGAACAGG